AGUGAACGCUGGCGGUAGGCCUAACACAUGCAAGUCGAACGGCAGCACAGUAAGAGCUUGCUCUUACGGGUGGCGAGUGGCGGACGGGUGAGGAAUACAUCGGAAUCUACUUUUUCGUGGGGGAUAACGUAGGGAAACUUACGCUAAUACCGCAUACGACCUACGGGUGAAAGCAGGGGAUCUUCGGACCUUGCGCGAUUGAAUGAGCCGAUGUCGGAUUAGCUAGUUGGCGGGGUAAAGGCCCGCCAAGGCGACGAUCCGUAGCUGGUCUGAGAGGAUGAUCAGCCACACUGGAACUGAGACACGGUCCAGACUCCUACGGGAGGCAGCAGUGGGGAAUAUUGGACAAUGGGCGCAAGCCUGAUCCAGCCAUACCGCGUGGGUGAAGAAGGCCUUCGGGUUGUAAAGCCCUUUUGUUGGGAAAGAAAAGCAGCAGGUUAAUACCCCGCUGUUCUGACGGUACCCAAAGAAUAAGCACCGGCUAACUUCGU
rnacentral:rRNA from 1 species